AAACUUUCAACAACGGAUCUCUUGGUUCUGGCAUCGAUGAAGAACGCAGCGAAAUGCGAUAAGUAAUGUGAAUUGCAGAAUUCAGUGAAUCAUCGAAUCUUUGAACGCACAUUGCGCCCCUUGUAUUCCGGGGGGCAUGCCUGUUCGAGCGUCAUUA
rnacentral:rRNA from 1 species